UUGUGCGCCAUGUUUAGUUAGUACCAACCAUGGCACAGCUGACAAGUUGUCUAUUUUUACCUUGGUGUCUUGGGGAGCCUACACUUCUAUUUAAUCCCUUUGCUUAAACCAGUUUUAUGUAAUCACUAGGAUUUUGUUUCCACUGCCUCAUCAUCAUGCUAACAGAUACUGGCUCCUAACAGGUAUACUGUAAAGUAUGCAAUGUCUUUAGGAUAGACGUUUGAAAAUCAGAAGGAGAGAAAAAAAAUACACAAGA